rnacentral:rRNA from 1 species
GCGGCCCCAGGUCAGGCUGGAUCACCCGUUGAGUUUAAGCAUAUCAAUAAGCGGAGGAAAAGAAACUUACCAGGAUUCCUCUAGUAACGAUGAGUGAAUCGAGAAGAGCUCAGCUUGAGAAUCGGGUGCCCCCGACAUCUAAAUUGUAGUCUGGAGAAGCAUCCUCAGUGAUGGACCGGUCCCAAGUCCCUUGGAAAGGGACGUCAGAGAGGGUAAAAGCCCCAUUGUGCCUGGACCCUAUCGCAUCAUGCGGUGUUAUUCGCGAGUCGGGUUGUUUGGGAAUGCAGCCCCAAUUGGGCGAUAAAUUUCAUCCAAGGUUGAACACGGGUGAGAGACUGUUAACGAAAAAGUACCAUGAGGGAAAGAUGAAAAGGACUUUGAAAAAAGAGUUAAAGAGUGCUUGAAAUUAUCAGGAGGGAAGCGGAUGGGGGUCGACGAUGGGCCUCAAUCGGAUGUGGAACGGUGAGAGCCGGUCCAUCGAUCGACUCAGGGCGUGGAUCGAUGCCGAUCGAGGUGACAGCCCAAGCCUGGGCUUUUUGUGCUCACAGAGACAUUGUCACUGCGAUCAUGAAAUGUAGCAUGCGCUGUCUCGACAUGCCUCGGCACCUGUGUGCUCCCGGUGUCGCUUGUGGGCUUCCGUUACGGCCCGUCUUGAAAUAUGGACCAAGAAGUCUGACAUGCGUUCAAGUCAACGGGCCAAGAAACUCGUAACGCACAAGGAAGCUGAUUGGCGGGAUCCCUCACGGGUGCACUACCGACCGACCUUGAUCUUCUGAGAAAGGUUCAAGUGCAAGCAUGCCCGUCGAGACCCGAAAGAUGGCGUACUAUGCCUAAGUGGGGCGAAGUGAAAAGAAACUCUAGUGGAGGCCCGCAGCGAUACUGACGUGCAAAUUGUUUGUCUGACUUAGGUAUAAGGGCGAAAGACUAAUCGAACCUUCUAGUAGCUGGUUCCCUCCAAAGUUUCCUUCAGGAUAGCUAGAGCCCCCGAUGAGUUCUAUCAGGUAAAGCCAAUGAUUAGAGGCAUCGGGGGUGCAACGCCCUUGACCUAUUCUCAAACUUUAAAUAGGUAGGAUGGCACAGCUGCUUCGUUGAGCUGCACCACAGAAUCGAGAGCUCUAAGUGGGCCAUUUUUGGUAAGCAGAACUGGUGAUGAGGGAUGAAUCGAAAGUCGAGUUAACCCAGAACCCACAAUGGGUGUUAGUCAAUUAAGAUAGCAGGACGGUGGUCAUGGAAGUCAAAAUCUGCUAAGGAGUGUGUAAUAACUCACCUACCAAUUCAACUAGCCUCGAAAAUCAAUGGCACUUAAGCGCGCGACCUAUACGCUACCGUCGAGGUAGGGGCCAGGCCCUGAUGAGUAGGAGGGCACGACUGUUACUGCUAAACCCUAGGUGCAAGCUCGGGCAGAACGACCGUCAGUGUAGAUCUUGGUGGUAGUAGCAAAUAUUCAAAUGAAAACUUUGAAGGCCGAAAAGAGGAAAGGUUUCAUGUGAACGGCAUUUACACAUGGGUUAGUCGAUCCUAAGAGACGGGGGACAGGGCAUCCCAUGUAAGCUUCGAAAGGGAAUCAAGUUAAAAUUCUUGAACCGAGAUACGAUGACUAACAGCAACGUUAAGGAGUCUGAAGACGUCGGUGGGGCCCAUGAGAAGAGUUAUCUUUUUUGUUUAAUGACCCGUCUACCCUAGAAACGGCUUACCCAGAGGUAUGGUCCACUACAGGAAGAGCACUGCACAUCGCGUGGUGUCUGACGCACCCCCGACAGCCCUUGAAAAUUUGAAUGACUGACUAUCAAUUAUGUCUGAUCGUACUCAUAACCGUAUCAGGUCUCCAUGGUGAACAGCCUCUGGUCAAUGGAAUAAUGUAGGCAACGAAAGUUGGUAAAAUGGAUCCAUAACCUCAAGAAAAGGAUUGGUUCUGAGGGUUGGGCAUGAGGGUCCCAGUCCCAAACCCAUCGACUAUUAGUGCAUUGCUCGAGCUGCUCUCACGGUGAGAACGGGUCAUCAUGUGCCGAUUGGGGGACGGACUGGGAACGGCUCUCUCGGGGCCUUUCCCCAGGCGAUGAACAGUCGACUUAGAACUAGUACGAACAAGGGGAAUCCGACUGUUUAAUUAAAACAAAGCAUUGCGAUGGUCCCUACGGAUGCUCACGCAAUGUGAUUUCUACCCAGUGCUCUAAAUGCCAAUGUGAAGAAAUUCAACCAAGUGCGGGUAAACAGUGAGAGUAACUAUGACUCUCUUAGGGUAGCCAAAUGCCUCGUCAUCUAAUUAGUGACGUGCAUGAAUGGAUUAACAAGAUUUCCACUGUCCCUGUCUACUAUCUAGAGAAACCACAGCCAAGGGAACGGGCUUGGCAGAAUUUACGGGGAAAGAAGACCCUGUUGAGCUUGACUCUAGUUCGACUUUGUGAAAUGACUUGAGAGGUGUAGGAUAAGUGGGAGCCAUCGGGCGAAAUUGAAAUACCACUACUUUUAACGUUAUUUUACUUAUUUCAUAAAUCGGAGGUGGGGCACGACCUCUUUUUUUAGACCCAGGUCAGCCUCGACCGAUCCAUCCGGGUGGAAGACAUUGUCAGGUGGAGAGUUUGGCUGAGAGGCACAUCUGUUAAAAUAUAACGCAGGUGUCCUAAGAUGAGCUCAAUGAGAAUAGAAAUCUUGUGUGGAACAAAAGGGCAAAAGCUCAUUUGAUUCUAAUUUCUAGUACUAAUAGGAACCGUGAAAGCGUGGCCUAGUGAUCUUUUAGACCUUUGGGAUUUGAAGCUAGAGGUGUUAGAAAAGUUACCAUAGGGAUAACUGACUUGUGGCAGCCAAGCGUUCAUAGUGACAUUGCUUUUUGAUCCUUCAAUGUCGGUUCUUCCUAUCAUUGUGAGGUAGAAUUCACCUAGUGUUGGAUUGUUCACCCACCAAUAGGGAAUGUGAGCUAGGUUUAAACCGUCAUGAGACAGGUUAGUUUUACCCUACUGAUGGCGGUGGCGUGAUAGUAAUUCAACCUAGUAUGAGAAGAACCAUUGAUUCGCACAAUUGGUCAUCGUGCUUGGUUGAAAAACCAAUGGCAUGAAGCUACUGUGCAUUGGAUUAUGACUAAACACCUCAAAGUCAGAAUCUAGGCUAAAAGUGAUGCACGCGUCCGCCGCUCGAUUGCCGACCCGCAGUAGGGGCCUAUGGCCCCAAGGGCAUGUGUCAUAGGUGCAGCCCCUGAUGCGAACAAGCUGCGUGGGCCUCCUUGGAGCUUAAUUCCCAUUGACCAAUGGGUAAAAUCAUUUGC